rnacentral:rRNA from 1 species
UACGGGGGGGGGCAAGCGUUGUUCGGAAUUACUGGGCGUAAAGGGCGCGUAGGCGGCCUGCUAAGUCGGAUGUGAAAUCCCUCGGCUCAACCGAGGAACUGCAUCCGAUACUGGCGGGCUUGAAUCCGGGAGAGGGAUGUGGAAUUCCAGGUGUAGCGGUGAAAUGCGUAGAUAUCUGGAGGAACACCGGUGGCGAAGGCGGCAUCCUGGACCGGUAUUGACGCUGAGGCGCGAAAGUUAGGGGAGCAAAGCGGG